UAAGGAAUAUUGGUCAAUGGACGCAAGUCUGAACCAGCCAUGCCGCGUGAAGGAUGAAGGUCCUCUGGAUUGUAAACUUCUUUUAUCUGGGACGAAAACGGGAUUUUUAUCUCAAUUGACGGUACCAGAGGAAUAAGCACCGGCUAACUCCGUGCCAGCAGCCGCGGUAAUACGGAGGGUGCAAGCGUUAUCCGGAUUCACUGGGUUUAAAGGGUGCGUAGGUGGGUAUGUAAGUCAGAGGUGAAAUCCCCGAGCUUAACUUGGGAACUGCCUUUGAUACUAUAUAUCUUGAAUGCCGUAGAGGUAAGCGGAAUAUGUCAUGUAGCGGUGAAAUGCUUAGAUAUGACAUGGAACACCAAUUGCGAAGGCAGCUUACUAUGCGGUUAUUGACACUGAGGCACGAAAGCGUGGGUAGCAAACA
rnacentral:rRNA from 1 species